CCGACCUUACUUGAACAGGAUCUGUUCUAUAGGCUCGUACAUCUGUAUCCGUGAUCACUAAGGAGACAGGAACCUAAGUCUGGAGGAUGAAUCACGACCGUACGAUUAGAGAGUGAUUAACAGCGUCGUGGCCCUUGGGCCCUUGAUGCAGUAGAGGAUCGUUCUCAGCCAUGAUCUCUUGGCUGGGAUGGUCGCACGUCUGUCUGACAGAUU